CAGUAGUCACGAGUUUGAUCCUGGCUCAAGGAUGAACGCUAGCGGCAGGCUUAACACAUGCAAGUCGAGGGUAGGUUACUUCGGUAAUUGAGACCGGCGCACGGGUGCGUAACGCGUAUACAAUCUACCUUUUACAGAGGGAUAGCCCAGAGAAAUUUGGAUUAAUACCUCAUAGUAUUUUUGAAUCGCAUGAUUUGAUUAUUAAAGUUCCAACGGUAAAAGAUGAGUAUGCGUCCCAUUAGCUAGAUGGUAAGGUAACGGCUUACCAAGACAAUGAUGGGUAGGGGGUCCUGAGAGGGAGAUCCCCCACACUGGUACUGAGACACGGACCAGACUCCUACGGGAGGCAGCAGUGAGGAAUAUUGGUCAAUGGGCGCAAGCCUGAACCAGCCAUGCCGCGUGCAGGAAGACGGUCCUAUGGAUUGUAAACUGCUUUUAUACAGGAAGAAACCCUCCCACGUGUGGGAGCUUGACGGUACUGUAGGAAUAAGGAUCGGCUAACUCCGUG
rnacentral:rRNA from 1 species